rnacentral:rRNA from 1 species
UGGGGAAUUUUACGCAAUGGGGGAAACCCUGACGUAGCGACACCGCGUGAGCGAAGAAGCCUUUUGGGGUGUAAAGCUCUGUCAGCUGGAACGAACACAAUGACGGUACCAGCAGAGGAAGCAUCGGCUAACUACGUGCCAGCAGCCGCGGUAAGACGUAGGAUGCAAGCGUUGUCCGGAUUCAUUGGGCGUAAAGAGUUCGUAGGUGGUCUGUUAAGUUUGGUGUUAAAGAGCGGGGCCCAACCCCGAUAGUGCACUGAAUACUGGCAGACUUGAGUGCGGUAGAGGUAAGUGGAAUUCCAAGUGUAGCGGUGAAAUGCAUAGAUAUUUGGAAGAACACCGGUGGCGUAAGCGACUUACUGGGCCGUAACUGACACUGAGGAACGAAAGCCGGGGCAGCGAAUG